rnacentral:rRNA from 1 species
CGCACGGGUGAGUAACACGUAUGGAACCUGCCCUAUGCAGGGGGAUAAGCGGAAGAAAUUCCGUCUAAUACCGCAUAACACCAUUUGGAGACAUCUUCUUGGGGGUCAAAGGAGGCGACUCCGGCAUAGGAUGGCCAUGCGUCGCAUUAGCUAGUCGGCGGGGUAACGGCCCACCGAGGCGACGAUGCGUAGGGGUUCUGAGAGGAAGGUCCCCCACACUGGUACUGAGACACGGACCAGACUCCUACGGGAGGCAGCAG